rnacentral:rRNA from 1 species
UUAAGUUAUUAAGGGCGCACGGUGGAUGCCUUGGCACUAGAAGCCGAUGAAGGACGUUACUAACGACGAUAUGCUUUGGGGAGCUGUAAGUAAGCUUUGAUCCAGAGAUUUCCGAAUGGGGAAACCCAGCAUGAGUUAUGUCAUGUUAUCGAUAUGUGAAUACAUAGCAUAUCAGAAGGCACACCCGGAGAACUGAAACAUCUUAGUACCCGGAGGAAGAGAAAGAAAAUUCGAUUCCCUUAGUAGCGGCGAGCGAAACGGGAAGAGCCCAAACCAACAAGCUUGCUUGUUGGGGUUGUAGGACACUCUAUACGGAGUUACAAAGGACGACAUUAGACGAAUCAUCUGGAAAGAUGAAUCAAAGAAGGUAAUAAUCCUGUAGUCGAAAAUGUUGUCUCUCUUGAGUGGAUCCUGAGUACGACGGAGCACGUGAAAUUCCGUCGGAAUCUGGGAGGACCAUCUCCUAAGGCUAAAUACUCUCUAGUGACCGAUAGUGAACCAGUACCGUGAGGGAAAGGUGAAAAGCACCCCGGAAGGGGAGUGAAAUAGAACCUGAAACCGUGUGCUUACAAGUAGUCAGAGCCCGUUAAUGGGUGAUGGCGUGCCUUUUGUAGAAUGAACCGGCGAGUUACGAUUUGAUGCAAGGUUAAGCAGUAAAUGUGGAGCCGUAGCGAAAGCGAGUCUGAAUAGGGCGUUUAGUAUUUGGUCGUAGACCCGAAACCAGGUGAUCUACCCUUGGUCAGGUUGAAGUUCAGGUAACACUGAAUGGAGGACCGAACCGACUUACGUUGAAAAGUGAGCGGAUGAACUGAGGGUAGCGGAGAAAUUUCAAUCGAACCUGGAGAUAGCUGGUUCUCUCCGAAAUAGCUUUGGGGCUAGCCUCAAGUGAUGAUUAUUGGAGGUAGAGCACUGUUUGGACGAGGGGCCCCUCUCGGGUUACCGAAUUCAGACAAACUCCGAAUGCCAAUUAAUUUAACUUGGGAGUCAGAACAUGGGUGAUAAGGUCCGUGUUCGAAAGGGAAACAGCCCAGACCACCAGCUAAGGUCCCAAAAUAUAUGUUAAGUGGAAAAGGAUGUGGCGUUGCCCAGACAACUAGGAUGUUGGCUUAGAAGCAGCCAUCAUUUAAAGAGUGCGUAAUAGCUCACUAGUCGAGUGACACUGCGCCGAAAAUGUACCGGGGCUAAACAUAUUACCGAAGCUGUGGAUUGUCCUUUGGACAAUGGUAGGAGAGCGUUCUAAGGGCGUUGAAGCAUGAUCGUAAGGACAUGUGGAGCGCUUAGAAGUGAGAAUGCCGGUGUGAGUAGCGAAAGACGGGUGAGAAUCCCGUCCACCGAUUGACUAAGGUUUCCAGAGGAAGGCUCGUCCGCUCUGGGUUAGUCGGGUCCUAAACAGAGGCCGACAGGCGUAGGCGAUGGAUAACAGGUUGAUAUUCCUGUACCACCUAUAAUCGUUUUAAUCGAUGGGGGGACGCAGUAGGAUAGGCGAAGCGUGCGAUUGGAUUGCACGUCUAAGCAGUAAGGCUGAGUAUUAGGCAAAUCCGGUACUCGUUAAGGCUGAGCUGUGAUGGGGAGAAGACAUUGUGUCUUCGAGUCGUUGAUUUCACACUGCCGAGAAAAGCCUCUAGAUAGAAAAUAGGUGCCCGUACCGCAAACCGACACAGGUAGUCAAGAUGAGAAUUCUAAGGUGAGCGAGCGAACUCUCGUUAAGGAACUCGGCAAAAUGACCCCGUAACUUCGGGAGAAGGGGUGCUCUUUAGGGUUAACGCCCAGAAGAGCCGCAGUGAAUAGGCCCAAGCGACUGUUUAUCAAAAACACAGGUCUCUGCUAAACCGUAAGGUGAUGUAUAGGGGCUGACGCCUGCCCGGUGCUGGAAGGUUAAGAGGAGUGGUUAGCUUCUGCGAAGCUACGAAUCGAAGCCCCAGUAAACGGCGGCCGUAACUAUAACGGUCCUAAGGUAGCGAAAUUCCUUGUCGGGUAAGUUCCGACCCGCACGCAAGGCGUAACGAUUUGGGCACUGUCUCAACGAGAGACUCGGUGAAAUCAUAGUACCUGUGAAGAUGCAGGUUACCCGCGACAGGACGGAAAGACCCCGUGGAGCUUUACUGUAGCCUGAUAUUGAAAUUCGGCACAGCUUGUACAGGAUAGGUAGGAGCCUUUGAAACGUGAGCGCUAGCUUACGUGGAGGCGCUGGUGGGAUACUACCCUAGCUGUGUUGGCUUUCUAACCCGCACCACUUAUCGUGGUGGGAGACAGUGUCAGGCGGGCAGUUUGACUGGGGCGGUCGCCUCCUAAAAGGUAACGGAGGCGCUCAAAGGUUCCCUCAGAAUGGUUGGAAAUCAUUCAUAGAGUGUAAAGGCAUAAGGGAGCUUGACUGCGAGACCUACAAGUCGAGCAGGGUCGAAAGACGGACUUAGUGAUCCGGUGGUUCCGCAUGGAAGGGCCAUCGCUCAACGGAUAAAAGCUACCCCGGGGAUAACAGGCUUAUCUCCCCCAAGAGUUCACAUCGACGGGGAGGUUUGGCACCUCGAUGUCGGCUCAUCGCAUCCUGGGGCUGUAGUCGGUCCCCAGGGUGGGGCUGUUCGCCCAUUAAAGCGGUACGCGAGCUGGGUUCAGAACGUCGUGAGACAGUUCGGUCCCUAUCCGUCGUGGGCGUAGGAAAUUUGAGAGGAGCUGUCCUUAGUACGAGAGGACCGGGAUGGACAUACCUCUGGUGUACCAGUUGUCGUGCCAACGGCAUAGCUGGGUAGCUAUGUGUGGACGGGAUAAGUGCUGAAAGCAUCUAAGCAUGAAGCCCCCCUCAAGAUGAGAUUUCCCAACUUCGGUUAUAAGAUCCCUCAAAGAUGAUGAGGUUAAUAGGUUCGAGGUGGAAGCAUGGUGACAUGUGGAGCUGACGAAUACUAAUCGAUCGAAGACUUAAUCAA